rnacentral:rRNA from 1 species
GAUGAACGCUGGCGGCGUGCCUAAUACAUGCAAGUCGAGCGAAUGGAUUAAGAGCUUGCUCUUAUGAAGUUAGCGGCGGACGGGUGAGUAACACGUGGGUAACCUGCCCAUAAGACUGGGAUAACUCCGGGAAACCGGGGCUAAUACCGGAUAACAUUUUGAACCGCAUGGUUCGAAAUUGAAAGGCGGCUUCGGCUGUCACUUAUGGAUGGACUCGCGUCGCAUUCGCUAGUUGGUGAGGUAACGGCUCACCAAGGCAAAGAUGCGUAGCCGACCUGAGAGGGUGAUCGGCCACACUGGGACUGAGACACGGCCCAGACUCCUACGGGAGGCAGCAGUAGGGAAUCUUCCGCAAUGGACGAAAGUCUGACGGAGCAACGCCGCGUGAGUGAUGAAGGCUUUCGGGUCGUAAAACUCUGUUGUUAGGGAAGAACAAGUGCUAGUUGAAUAAGCUGGCACCUUGACGGUACCUAACCAGAAAGCCACGGCUAACUACGUGCCAGCCGCCGCCGUAA